AUUGAACGCUGGCGGCAGGCCUAACACAUGCAAGUCGAGCGGAGCGGCGGCCGGGGGAGUGCUGCCUAGGAAUCUGCCUGGUCGUGGGGGAUCCCGUCCGGAAACGGACGCUCAUACCGCAUACUAUCAGAUUAGCCUAGGUCGGCUUCGCUCGAUGGUGGGGUAAAGGCAUACCAAGACGACGAUCCGUAACUGGGCUGAGAGGAUGAUCAGUCACACUGGAACUGAGACACGGUCCAGACUCCUACGGGAGGCAGCAGUGGGGAAUAUUGGACAAUGGGCGAAAGCCUGAUCCAGCCAUGCCGCGUGUGUGAAGAAGGUCUUCGGAUUGUAAAGCACUUUAAGUUGGGAGGCGUUACCAACAGAAUAAGCACCGGCUAACUUCGUGCCAGCAGCCGCGGUAAUUC
rnacentral:rRNA from 1 species